rnacentral:rRNA from 1 species
GAUGAACGCUAGCUACAGGCUUAACACAUGCAAGUCGAGGGGAAACGACAUCGAAAGCUUGCUUUUGAUGGGCGUCGACCGGCGCACGGGUGAGUAACGCGUAUCCAACCUGCCCAUCACUUGGGAAUAACCUUGCGAAAGUAAGACUAAUACCCAAUGGCAUCCCACGAAGACAUCUGAAUGGGAUUAAAGAUUUAUCGGUGAUGGAUGGGGAUGCGUCUGAUUAGCUUGUUGGCGGGGUAACGGCCCACCAAGGCAACGAUCAGUAGGGGUUCUGAGAGGAAGGUCCCCCACAUUGGAACUGAGACACGGUCCAAACUCCUACGGGAGGCAGCAGUGAGGAAUAUUGGUCAAUGGGCGAGAGCCUGAACCAGCCAAGUAGCGUGCAGGAUGACGGCCCUAUGGGUUGUAAACUGCUUUUAUAAGGGAAUAAAGUGGGUCUCGUGAGACUUUUUGCAUGUACCUUAUGAAUAAGGACCGGCUAAUUCCGUG